ACUCAAAGGAAUAGACGGGGACCCGCACAAGCGGUGGAGCGUGUUGUUUAAUUCGAUGGUAAGCGAAGAACCUUACCCAGGUUUGACAUCCUAGGAAUUUUGGUGAAAGCCGAGAGUGCCUUCGGGAACCUAGUGACAGGUGCUGCAUGGCCGUCGUCAGCUCGUGUCGUGAGAUGUUAGGUUAAGUCCUUCAACGAGCGCAACCCCUAUGAUUAGUUGUAUUUUUCUAAUCAGACUGCCCCGGCAACGGGGAGGAAGGAGGGGAUGAUGUCAGGUCAGUAUUGCCCUUACACCUGGGGCGACAAACGCGCUACAAUGGCCGGUACAAUGGGAAGCCAAGUCGCGAGACGGAGCAAAUCCCAUCAAAGCCGGUCCCAGUUCGGAUUGCAGGCUGAAACUCGCCUGCAUGAAGUCGGAAUCGCUAGUAAUCGCAGAUCAGAAUGCUGCGGUGAAUACGUUCCCGGGUCUUGUACACACCGCCCGU
rnacentral:rRNA from 1 species